UGAGGAAUAUUGGUCAAUGGGCGCUAGCCUGAACCAGCCAAGUAGCGUGAAGGAUGAAGGCUCUAUGGGUCGUAAACUUCUUUUAUAUAAGAAUAAAGUGCAGUAUGUAUACUGUUUUGUAUGUAUUAUAUGAAUAAGGAUCGGCUAACUCCGUGCCAGCCGCCGCGGUAAUACGGAGGAUCCGAGCGUUAUCCGGAUUUAUUGGGUUUAAAGGGAGCGUAGGUGGACUGGUAAGUCAGUUGUGAAAGUUUGCGGCUCAACCGUAAAAUUGCAGUUGAUACUGUCAGUCUUGAGUACAGUAGAGGUGGGCGGAAUUCGUGGUGUAGCGGUGAAAUGCUUAGAUAUCACGAAGAACUCCGAUUGCGAAGGCAGCUCACUGGACUGCAACUGACACUGAUGCUCGAAAGUGUGGGUAUCAAACAGG
rnacentral:rRNA from 1 species